rnacentral:tRNA from 1 species
GGGGUUGUAGCUCAGUGGUAGAGUGCUUGCCUAGCAUGCAUGAGGCACUGGGUUCAAUCCCCGGCACCA